rnacentral:tRNA from 1 species
GGUCCCGUAGCUCAGCUGGAUAGAGCAUCUGCCUCCUAAGCAGAGGGUCAGGCGUUCGAAUCGCCUCGGGAUCACCA